rnacentral:rRNA from 1 species
UACGUAGGGUGCAAGCGUUGUCCGGAAUUAUUGGGCGUAAAGAGCUCGUAGGCGGUCUGUCGCGUCUGCUGUGAAAACUCGGGGCUUAACCCCGGGCUUGCAGUGGGUACGGGCAGACUAGAGUGCGGUAGGGGAGACUGGAAUUCCUGGUGUAGCGGUGAAAUGCGCAGAUAUCAGGAGGAACACCGGUGGCGAAGGCGGGUCUCUGGGCCGAUACUGACGCUGAGGAGCGAAAGCGUGGGGAGCGAACAGG